rnacentral:rRNA from 1 species
GACGAACGCUGGCGGCGUGCCUAAUACAUGCAAGUUGAGCGAUGAAGAUUGGUGCUUGCACCAAUUUGAAGAGCAGCGAACGGGUGAGUAACGCGUGGGGAAUCUGCCUUUGAGCGGGGGACAACAUUUGGAAACGAAUGCUAAUACCGUAUAAUAACUUUAAACAUAAGUUUUAAGUUUGAAAGAUGCAAUUGCAUCACUCAAAGAUGAUCCCGCGUUGUAUUAGCUAGUUGGUGAGGUAAAGGCUCACCAAGGCGAUGAUACAUAGCCGACCUGAGAGGGUGAUCGGCCACAUUGGGACUGAGACACGGCCCAAACUCCUACGGGAGGCAGCAGUAGGGAAUCUUCGGCAAUGGACGAAAGUCUGACCGAGCAACGCCGCGUGAGUGAAGAAGGUUUUCGGAUCGAAAAACUCUGUUGGUAGAGAAGAACGUUGGUGAGAGUGGAAAGCUCAUCAAGUGACGGUAACUACCCAGAAAGGGACGGCUAACUACGUG